CCUGUCGCUCAUGAGAGCUUGGAGCGGGAAUGGUUGUGAAUGUUCUAUGUCCUGCAUAUUAUGUGGAUGGCCCACCCUGACCAAACAAGCAGUCUGCAAGGAUCCCAUGAUGUAAGUCGUGACAUCCUGGCAGCUAAUGUCCCGGGAAUCGGCUCAGGCUGGCAACAGAGCAAGCAAAACUGGGCGCUGCUUGCAGUGGUGGGAACAUGGGUCA
rnacentral:SRP_RNA from 1 species